CCAUCUGCCAGUAUUUUACGAACUACGAAGACGAUAAUGUAUUUUGCUUGAUCAAAUUUUCAAAAUUUCCGCAAUUUCACAAUUCAAACUGGGAUAUUAAAGCCUUCAAUUGGUUUGCCAUUAGGAGCCUAUAAGGUAGUAAUUUUGCUUAUUUGUGAAGACUAUAAGGUGACAUUAACUAGAGGCCGUUGAUGGGGGAUUAUGGAAUUGAGAAUAGUGGACAAAAAAUAUAAAUAAUAGAGACAAUGGACCAAGAAAUAAAUAAAAUAGCUAGAAUAAUGGUGUUAAAAUGUAAUGAGAAGAGAAUAAUUGUCAAAAAGUAUAAAGAAUAGAGAAAAAUGGCCUCAAAUAUCAAAGAAUACAGAAAUUAAGAACCCCGAAUCCAGACAAUCAUACCGGUUGCCUUAAUGAACGUUAGUUUGUCUCUGGGAGAUAGUUAUUGGUUAUCAUACGGUUUCUCUUUAUUUCUAUGUCUAUUAAUUAAGAAGCAUGCUUUCAUUAUUUGCCAACAUUUUACAUAUCACAUUAUAAGAAAAAGACUAUUAUUUUGCAAACUACAUAGAUUUCCGGUAAUUGUUCUGCAUAGACCACACCACAUUGGAGUCCCUGUAAAAAAAUUUCAAGUGGACCUCAGUUACCCAC
rnacentral:lncRNA from 1 species